rfam:Ruminococcus sp. CAG:9 genomic scaffold, scf382
AAAAAGGCUGUGAAAAAGAGGAGUAGGCGGUAAUGCCCCACAGAGAGGGAAGCUUAUAAGCUGGAAGGUUUCCCGGGAACAGAAGUGCUGAAGGUAGCUUUGGAGCCGGGAGGCUGAAGUGAGUGUGUAUGAAUCAUAUCAGAGUUAUAUACGCGCAUGGUAGGUUUUCACGUAUCCCGCGUUAAGGGAAUGAGAGACAAACUAAGGUGGUACCGCGAUCUAUGUCGCCCUUUGC